rnacentral:lncRNA from 1 species
CCCCCCCCCCUUCUUUGAUCCAACUUAUACAUAAACUAUUAUACUAUAAAGUCCGGAGGAGGACCUCUAAGUGCAUUUACACAGACCAGAAACAUGGCCUCCAAGUCGUCAACUACUCUUGCUCUUUUCAGUCUUCUCCUCUUGUUUGCCAUCGGUUAGUUCUCUGUCUCUUUGUUUUCAAUAAGUUGUUAGUAGAUUGUGUUACCAAAUAACUAAUCUAUGUGUAUAAAUGUUUCUUAAUGUCCUUGCUAUAGAUAUAUCAAUUUACGAGUGUUAAGUUGAUGAUUAAUGAAAUCUCUUUUGCAGUUGCAUCGUGCCGAAGAAUAGAAUUAGCAGAAGCCAUGGAAGAAGAGGUACUUGCAGGAGAAGCGGCAACAAUAGAACUAGUGACAAGCAAGCUGCGCCCACCAGCAUGCUAUGCAAUGCGCUGUAAAAAUAAUGGAGAUUGCCGAAGUCAUGGUUGCUCUGGCUGCUCUGUAAUUUCUCAUUAUUGUCAUCGUUAGUUGCACCAAGUUGUGCAUGCAGUACAGAGUCUAGUGUCUAGACAAGUAUUUUCACAUAGCGUAGUUUUCUUUUCUUUUCUUUUCUUUUCAAUAAAGGCAAUGCCUCUUCCUUGUAUCAAGAAGAAGACUGAAGACUGCUUCGUCUCCUUGCCC